CAAUAGCGUAUAUUAAAGUUGUUGCAGUUAAAAAGCUCGUAGUUGGAUUUCUGGUGGGAGCGAUCGGUCUGGCGCUUAGCGCGAGUACUUGCAUCGUCUCCGGCCAUCCUUGGGGAGAGUCUGUCUGGCAUUAGGUUGUCGGGCAGAGGAUCCUCAUCGUUUACUGUGAAAACAUUAGAGUGUUCAAAGCAGGCUUAUGCCGUUGAAUAUAUUAGCAUGGAAUAAUAAGAUAGGACUUUGGUACUAUUUUGUUGGUUUGCGCACCAAAGUAAUGAUUAAUAGGGACAGUUGGGGGUAUUCGUAUUCCGUUGUCAGAGGUGAAAUUCUUGGAUUUACGGAAGACGAACUACUGCGAAAGCAUUUACCAAGGAUGUUUUCAUUAA
rnacentral:rRNA from 1 species